UGUGUGUGUGUAUGUGUGUGUGUAUGUGUGUGUGUAUAUACAUACAUAUACACACACAUACACACACACAUG
rnacentral:miRNA from 1 species